rnacentral:rRNA from 1 species
UUGAACGCUGGCGGCAUGCUUUACACAUGCAAGUCGAGCGGGGUGAGGGGGCAACUCUUCAUUCAGCGGCGGACGGGUGAGUAAUGCAUCGGAACGUAUCCCGUAGUGGGGGACAACCCAGCGAAAGCUGGGCUAAUACCGCAUAUGCUCUACGGAGGAAAGCGGGGGACCUGAGAGGGCCUCGCGCUAUGGGAGCGGCCGAUGUCCGAUUAGCUAGUUGGUGGGGUAAAGGCUUACCAAGGCGACGAUCGGUAGCUGGUCUGAGAGGAUGAUCAGCCACACUGGGACUGAGACACGGCCCAGACUCCUACGGGAGGCAGCAGUGGGGAAUUUUGGACAAUGGGGGCAACCCUGAUCCAGCCAUGCCGCGUGCGGGAAGAAGGCCUUCGGGUUGUAAACCGCUUUUGGUCGGGAAGAAAAGGUUUCUCCUAACAGGGGGGACUGUUGACGGUACCGGCAGAAUAAGCACCGGCUAACUACGU